GCCUCCUUGAGGUGUGGUGGGCUCCACCCAGUUCGAGCUUCCCAGCUGCUUUGUUUACCUAAGCAAGCCUGGGCAAUGGCGGGCGCCCCUCCCCCAGCCUUGGUGCCGCCUUGCAGUUUGAUCUCAGACUGCUGUGCUAGCAAUCAGCGAGACUCUGUGGGACCCUCCGAGCCAUGUGCGGGAUAUAAUCUUGUGGCGCGCCGUUUUUUAAGCCGGUCCAAGAAGCGCAAAAUUCUGGUGGGAGUGACCCGAUUUUCCAGGCGGACCAGAACUCCUUGAAGAAAUGACUAAUCCUUGAGCUUAGAAGGAAGAAUGGACCAGACACCAGAAGCCCUUAUGUGACAUCAGAACCAGAUCCUAAUUUCAGAUUUCCUCUUCUAUAAUACUUACCACUGCAUGUAUGGGUAACAUUUAACACUUUUUAUAACAUUGCAAGAGGAUCACGGAUUGGGGAUCUAGGACUGAUUAUAUUCUGACUGCCACUUCUGCCAUAAGUAAUACAGUGUUUGUGUUUCUAGUCUUAUGUCUUUGCAAGUACAGCAAAGGCUCAGACCUUCACAGUUCCUAACUCAACAGACACAAUCUACCAUGUUAAUAUAAUCUGCAACCCUCAUUCUUAAUUAUUUAGGCAUUGUACGCACUGUUCAUGUAAAGCAUUUCCCUGAAUACUGGCACAGAUUUUUUAAAAUAGACUUUUUAAUUUUGAAAUAAUUGUAUAUACAUGUACAGAAUAAAAAACACAAGGAGAUUCUAUGUUCAUCUUGCUCAAUUUCCCAAAUGAUAUCUUGUAAAACUAUGGUAUACAAUAUCACUACCAAUAUAUUCCAUUGAUAGAAUCCACUAAUAUUACUCAGAUAUAUUUGAUUGUACCUGUAUUUAUUCAUGUGUGUCUGUGUGAUUUUAGUUCUAUAUGAUUUAUCACAUGUGUAGGCUUAUAUAAAUUACAGGGGUCAAAGUACACAAUAGUUCCAUUGCUACAAGGAUCCCUUCCACAGCUCUUUCAUAAUCACAACCAAUUACACCACAGAUAAUAAUCCAUUCUCAAUUUCUAUAAUUUUGUCAUGUCAAGAAUAUUAUAUUAAGGAAACAAUACAGUUAAUAAUUUUGGGGACUGGCUUGUUUACACUCUGCAUAAUUCCCUGAAGGUUCAUCCAAAUUGUAGCAUGUGUUCAGUUGUUUAUUCUCUUUUAUUGCUGAGUAGUAUUCUAGGAUAUGGGUAUAAUACAGUUUGUUUAACCAUAUAUCCAUGUAACCAUGUAUAUAUCCAAAUGCCCAAGAAUAACAUUUGUGUUGUUUCCAGUUUGGACCUAUUAUGACAAAGAUGUUACAAACAUUUAUGUACACACAGAUUUUAUUGUAAACAUAAUUUUCAAUUGUCCUGGGACAAAUGUACAUGAAUGCAACUACUAGGUCUUAUUAAUUGCAUGAUUUUUUUAAUUAUUAAGAAAUUAUCAAAUUGCUUUACAGAGUGACAGUACCAUUUUAUAUACCCAUUAACAAUAUAUGACUAAUCCCAUUUGCACAAAUUCUUAUAAGCAUUUGGUGGUGCUUUUAUAUUAGCCAUUGUGAUAGAUGUAUUGUGAUAUCUCAUUGUAGUUUUAAUUUUCAGUUACCUAAUGGAUAAAGAUAUUAUAUUUAUAUGUGCUGCUUUGCCAUCUUUAUAUUCUUAUUUGUGAAAUAUCUGUUUAUGUCUUUUGCCCAUUUUAUAGUUGGAGUGUUUGUUUUUUGCUGUCUACUUUUCAGAGUUUCUUUGUGUAUUUCUGAUACUCACAAUUUUAUAUGUGCUUUGCCAAUUGAUAUAAUUAUGUGAUUUUUCUCUUUUGGUCUAUUGACAUGAUGGAUUACAUUAUUUGAUUUUCAAAUGCUGAACCAACCCUACUACCUGGAAAAAUCUUGCUUGGUCAAUAAAUUACUGAAUCAAUUUGUCAAUAUUUUGUUGAGAAUGCUCACAUGUAUAAUUAUGAGAAAUACAGGCCUGUAUUUUAUUUUUUGUAUGGGUUUUGUUUGUCUAUUUUUGGCAUAGGAAUAAUAUGAGUCCCAUAAAAUAAGUUGGGGGAUAUGCCUUCCUCUUCUAUUUUCUGUUACAGAUUGUAUAAUAUUGGUAUUAGUUCUUCCUUAAAUGUUUGAUGAAAUUCUCCAGUGCAGCAGCUUAGGCAUGACCAGGAACUUAAUUAUAAAUUUAAUUCUUUCUAUGGUUAUAGAAGUAUUCAAAUUGCCUAUCUCAAUUAGGUUUGGUUAGUUUGUGUUUUUUGAAAGAAUUGUUCCAUAUUUUCUAAGUUUUUGAAUGGAUGAGCAUAAAGUAAUUUACAGUAUUCUUAUUCUUUAAAUGAAUAAAGUAU
rnacentral:lncRNA from 1 species